GUAGGAAGCUACAACUUGGUGCCAGACUCCUAAGCUACCUCCCAAAGAGACGAGGAUAGAAGGAACCAUCCAUCUUGAGGUUCACAUUCCAAAGAGAAGUCUCUGAGGCCUUCAAGAAGGACAUUCUGGGAAGUGAAAGUGCUCUUCAGGCUAGAAGGUGAAUAAAGCAUGGAGCCAUCUUAUGAGGACCUCAUCUUGCAUCACAGCAUGGUGGGGAGGAAGCAGCUUUGUGCAAAGAGGAAUAUGUGUGCAAGACAGAGAAGCAUGAGGAGAGACCUGUCUUUGUAACAACCUACUCUCAUGAGACACCAACCACGGCCUCACUCUGUGCUCUUGGGUGUCAGGAGGUACACCAAAAUAGUAUCAGACCUGCACAGAACUGAAGAGAUGCUAAUCUUGCUCCUGUAUCUCCUUACUCUUUGGCUGGGAAAACACCCAGCAUAAUGUUACCUUUUGGACUUUAAAUGGACAGUAUUUAAAAGGAUUAUCCCCAUGCCUGUGUCAAUUGGACUGGGUGAGUUAAAAAAAACAUAUACAUAAAGACAAUGUUUAUAUUUAAAUGUCAGACAUUGUGUGGGUAGAUUUAGUGUUCUUUCCUAUCCAUGAAUAACAUUACAAACCAUAAUUAAUUUAUCCAUGUUCCUAU